rnacentral:rRNA from 1 species
GAUGAACGCUGGCGGCGUGCCUAACACAUGCAAGUCGAACGGAAUUUACAUGAAGCCUAGCGAUUGUAAAUUUAGUGGCGGACGGGUGAGUAACGCGUGGGUAACCUGCCUUGUACUGGGGGACAACAGUUGGAAACGACUGCUAAUACCGCAUAAGCGCACAGCUUCGCAUGAAGCAGUGUGAAAAACUCCGGUGGUACAAGAUGGACCCGCGUCUGAUUAGCUGGUUGGUGAGGUAACGGCCCACCAAGGCGACGAUCAGUAGCCGGCCUGAGAGGGUGAACGGCCACAUUGGGACUGAGACACGGCCCAAACUCCUACGGGAGGCAGCAGUGGGGAAUAUUGCACAAUGGGGGAAACCCUGAUGCAGCAACGCCGCGUGAGUGAAGAAGUAUUUCGGUAUGUAAAGCUCUAUCAGCAGGAAAGAAAAUGACGGUAC